UAACAAUAUAAUUAAUUUAUUAAAAACAAAAUACAAAUUUCAUGUUACUAUACUAAAGGCAUAUAAAAGAAAUAUAGAAAAUAUAUUUAUUGACAGUUCAAGUGUAUUUUCUCCAGAUGCAAUAUUUAGUGUUGGUGGAGAUGGUACAUAUUUAGAAUCCGCGCAUAUUAUUGCUAAUAAAUAUGUGACAGAUGCAAAUGCAAAUAUAAAAAACAAACCAAUUGAACUUGUUGGUAUAAAUAGCGAUCCUAAAACUUCGGAAGGUAAAUUGUGCUUAAACUAUUUUCACUUAGAUUUAGAAGAUCUAAAUUAUUGCUGUCCAUCAUUCAAAGAGUUUGAAAAAACGUAUGCGCACAAACGAAAAAAAAAAAAUUUGAUAUUUACAGAUGUUUCUAAUUUUAUUAAACAACUAAAAGAAAAUAAGGAAAAUGAUAUACUAUAUUCUAGUAGAAACAGUAAAAGUAAAAGUAAAGAACCAGAAUGCACGUUUAACGAUUUUAAUACUAUAGAACAGAUUGUAUUAAAUAACAGCUUAUUUUAUGAUACAACUUCAAAAAACAAUUAUAUCGUCGAAACAAAAAAUGAGAAUAAUUUAAAUGAUGGUUUUGAAAAUAAUAAUAACAAUAAUAAUAAAAUAAAUGAUAAUGAUACACUGGAAAAAAAAGAAGAAAAUAAAAAUAAAGAGAAAGAAAAAGAGAAAGAAAUAUUAAAAGAAGAGUGUAUAACGAAUAUGAAUAAAUUACCAUUGUUCAAUAAUUUAGCAAAAUAUGAUAUUUCAAAAAACGAGUGUGAAAAUUCAGAAAAUAUAUGUAUUAGUGUUAAAGAAUAUGUUAAUAAUAUCUUAAGAAAUUUUUUUGAAAGAAAUAUAUAUAAAAAAAUGAAUAGAAAAUAUAUAACAGUUUGUAUUAAAAAAUCUAAUGAUGAUGAUGUUAAAACUUAUAAAAGUAUAAAUGAAAUAUAUAUGUAUGAAGCAGUGAAAAAUAAUAUUUGUACAUAUAUUAAUGUUGACAAUAAAGUUGUUAAAAGGUUAAAAAGUACAGCUAUUUUGAUAACUAGUGGAACGGGGUCAACUGCAUGGGCUUAUAAUGUAAACAAACUUGAUAGCAAAAAAAUGAAAUAUAUCAUAAAAGAAUAUGUAAAUUUGCAAAGCGACCUAGUUAAAAAUAAUUUAAAAAAUAUAAAUAUUGAUUUAUUUUCAGAAUAUAUUAAUAAUUCUAUUUGUUUUCAUCCAAGUAGUAAUUAUAUGAAAUGCAUAAUAAAAGAACCAGUAGAAAAUAGUGUAUAUGAUUCAACAGAUCAUAUAUAUACAUGUCAAUAUCUAGAUAUAAAAACAUGUACUGGUAAUACCAUUGUGUAUAUAGAUGGUAUAUAUAACAUUAAAAUCCAACCUAAUGAUUCAGUUAUAUUAUACAUUAAAGAUGAUGAUUUUAUAGCAAGCUAUAAAUAAUAUUUAUUUCUUUUUAUUCCAGUAUAUGUCUUAUUUUAUUUUUUUAAAUAUAUUUUUAGUGUGUGGCAUUUUUAAAAAUUUGUCUUUUAUUAUUAUGUUAAUAGGUUUAUAUUUUAUCGUGUUAUUAUGCUACUGUUUUUAUUAUCCUUUCGUAUCAUUUAUUGUCUUCUUUUUUUUUUUUUUUUUUAUUUUUUUUUUUAUUUUUCUUUUGUUAUGGCAUACAUUCUUUAUUAUUUGUUAAUUAUUAUUUAUCAUGUAUAUUCUCAAAAAAAAUUAUGCUAAUUUAGAAAUUUAUAUAUUCUUUUCAUUAAAAAUAUAUUUAUUUACUAUAAACAUUUUAGUGUAAUAGAAUAUACAAUUAUGAGAGAUAUGCUUCGUUUGUAUUUAAAUCCUUUUUUUUUUUUUUUUUUUUUUUUUUUUUUAUAUAUAUCAUUGUCUUUGUUUAUUCAUAUACUUGAAUUAAGAGUUAUAUAUAAACAUAAACAUGUCUUUUAUAUUCUUCCAUUUUGUUAUUGUUAAUUUAUAAUUUUUUUGAUUUAAACUAGACAUAAUAUACAUACACAUAUGUAUAAUAUAUGUAUGAACCAUUGUAUAUUAAAAUGAAGCAUAAUACAAGACACCAUUUUUGUUUAUAUUAAUGGAAACUAUAUAUUACUAGAACAAGUUGAACACAUAAUACACGCAAUAGUAAGCACUUAAAUAUUUAGAUAAAUUAAAGCAAGUUAUAUAAGACAUCUUUCAAAAGAGAAAAAAUUAUUUCAACGACUUUUAAAAGUAGAAAUUUAUGUACAGGUAUUUUUAGAAUAUGAAAAACAUUAUCUUUAGUAUAUACAUAACAUUAUGUUUACUAUAUAUGUCAUAAUAUAUUUAAUAGGGAUAAUUUAAUUUUAUCUAGCUUUAAAAUGCUGUUAGCAUAAUUUUGAAAUAAAAAAUGAUGUUUUUAAGUAAAUUCUUAUUUU
rnacentral:lncRNA from 1 species